UGGGAGGUUGAUGCACAAGUAGAGCCAUAUGUCUUCUCUAUUCGUUGUGGACUGCUCCCAAGAGAGAACUUGCCUUUGGUUGACUAGGAUGAAUUGAGAGAAGUCGUAACAGACAGAUAUGAUGCAAACAUUC